UGUUAUUCUGUCAUUUACAGUGAAUUGUGCAUUCCGUCGUCUUUUUAUUCUACAAUUUGAAUUUACCUGGAAUUCGCCCUUCCCUCCUUGGAAGGGCGAAUUCCAUGACUGUCCUGUCCGUGGCUGAAAGGGCAGCAUGAAGACAUGGAGUGAGAAAAGGAAGUGCAGAGAAUAUUAAAAGCAGAGCAAAUAUUUAUGAACAUGGAUGUGGAAGUUUAAGAUUUUAGUAUUAUGAAACGUAGUCAGUUCUAUUUAUAGUUCAGUGAUAAACGCCAGUUUGCCCCUCAGAUAUUAUUUUAAAUUAAACCCUGUGAGUUUAAAUUGUUGGAAAUAGGAAACAAAGUUGUUGUUUUUUAAAAUAAUCAAUUAAGAAGGGUCCUACAAUUAAAUAUUGAUGGAUUACUUCCCAGCUAGUUAGUGGCAUAGUUUUGAACAGCAUGGUCAAUGCUAAUUUGACAUUUUAUCUGUUAAAGAAAUGCUACAGCUCUCAGCUCAUCCUGAUCAUCAGUCAAUUCUCUUUUCAGGAAAAAAGGCCUCCCCCCGUGAGGGUUUUAGAUGCAUUAUGAGGUCUUUGUGAUGCAAAAUGCUUGACUCAAAAGGGCACUUCUAUGCAUAUUCAUUGAGAGGACUGUAAAACAAAAAGAGGAAUGAAGGAAUCUGAAAGGACCGGGGGAAUGAAGUGAAGAGGAGCGGUGAAAUAAAACAAACAUAACAGGUGGGGAGAGAAGUUUGGCGUUUUAGGAGCUUCCAUCGCCACUCAGGCUCACCGUGCUCCGUCGGUGUGGUUCCUCCUUCCUUCCUCCCUCCCUCCGUCCAUCUCUGUGACUAAUCUGUAACCACUGUUGACAGCAGCACCACACCUUCACCAACUCCAGCUCCCUUCUGUCAAAAUGCCAGACUCUAAUGAAGCUGUGCCAGCAUCCUGCCAGGUCAUCAAAGGGGACAUCGACAAAUGCGUUCAGAAGGGAGCAGAAGACUGUAACGAUCUGCUAGACGCUUUCCAGGCUUGUGUAAAAACACUGUCGGAGGGAUCAUAAUUCAUUCAAUGUAACUCUUUGAAAUGUGAAAAUCCUUGACUUGUCCAGCAUUUGGUUUACUUCACUGAACCAUGUGAAAGGCUGAAGAGCGCCGCUGCACACCUCAAUCUGAUGUUUCUCUCAAGGUUACAUUUCUUUCAUUAAAACAGAAAUCCUGUUAAUAUAACACCAUGAUGCAAUUCUAUUUAUUAAAAGUCCCAUAACACAUAUUUUGUAGUUGUCGUAUUUAAUGUGGCUGUAGUCACCUUCGCAAGGGGUGUAAAGUUUUAAAAUAACGAGAUGGUUGUUGAAACCUCUUUAGCAGCCAACAGUACAGUUGUUCUUAAUGGAAUUAGGAGGAUCCUGUUAAUCUCUGCUUAAUCCUUGGUGGUUGCUGCAGCGAACAGUGUAAUGUCACUUCCAGAGUCUCAGCUGUGUCAGUGGGGGGGCCAGUCUGGAAGAAAACCCACAAAGACGAGUUAUUUCAGCAUUACUCUGCAGA
rnacentral:lncRNA from 1 species